rnacentral:rRNA from 1 species
UACGUAGGGGGCAAGCGUUGUCCGGAUUUAUUGGGCGUAAAGAGCGUGUAGGCGGCCAGGUAGGUCCGUUGUGAAAACUCGAGGCUCAACCUCGAGACGUCGGCGGAAACCCUCUGGCUAGAGUCCGGAAGAGGAGAGUGGAAUUCCUGGUGUAGCGGUGAAAUGCGCAGAUAUCAGGAGGAACACCGGUGGUGUAGACGGCUUUCUGGACCGACACUGACGCUGAGGCGCGAAAGCGUGGGGAGCAAACAGG